UCGACAGCUACUCCUUUUUCUCUUCUACCAUGGAGACUGACUUUCACCGCCGCUACUCCAUCACCCUAAUUAAGCAACCACCAUCAAUCAAAGACCUUUGGUGUUCUUAUUCUUCUUAUUCUUCUCCAUUGUUUGAAUCAAAGUGAAAAAUGAAUCAGUAAAGAACCAUCUCAAGUUCUCAAAUAAAUUAUUCAUAUGAAAUUACCAGUAAGGUGACUUAUUUUUGUUUAAUUCUUAUUUGGUAUGUAAUUAGUGAAUGAAUUUCCAAUUUCGUGCGUUUUUCCUGAAAAAAGGAACCCUAGAAUUUAUGAUUUGGUAUUUUUCGAUUUGGUGUUGUUUUGAUUAGGGUUUGUAUGGGUUCUAAAAUGGAUGAAUCUUCUCAAUCAUGUGCGAUAGUUUGUUAAUUUUUGCAAUCAUAAAUCAUUAUUCAUGGUUGAUUUUAGAUGAUAUUGAGUAGAAGUGUUUAGUUCUUGUAGUUUUGGAUAAAAUAAGAAACUCUAGACGUUCUAGGAUUGGUUUGUGUUUAUUAUUGGUAUUGGUUUGUUUUGGUUUGUGUUUUGCAAUCACUAGUAAUAGUAGUAGACAUGCUAUGAGUGUGGAAUCAUGUAUUGGUCCGUAAGAUGGAUUCUGUCUCGUAUCUUUUUUUGUGGAAGUCAAUGAAUUAUAUACACACAGUCACACACACUAUCAAAUAGUGUAAGAUAUGUUUCAAGUUUAAAUUUGUUUUCAUAAUUCAAUUGCUACAACCUACAUGGAUCAUUCUCAUUGUGACUUCCAGAUUUUUUUUCGUUACCAUAACUCAAUUUUUGCCUAUCCAUGACUGCAUUCUCACUAGGAUUCGACUAAGUAGUAAGUAAUUGCACCAAUUAUUAUAUUGUUAUUAUGUAGGAAAAUGAUAGAUUUGUUAAUUUAUUUCUUGUUACAAAGAUUUUGGGUCCUCUGCAUACUACCUUUAUGAACCUUGAAGAAAGAUAAUAAAAGAGUCUUGAAGGGUCAAGGGAGCUCGAAGACGUUAUGCUUGCAAUUCAAGCUUGGUCUAAUUGAAGUCUUUCAACUUCGGCUGCUUGGAUCUUUGUUUAAUCUUUAUAUCCACUUGAGGUUAGUGAUACUAACUUAACUUGCUUCAGGCGUUGGUGGCGGCAUAUGUUUAAUCCCUAUAUCCACUUUGAUACUCACGUGAAUGAUUUUUUCAUUUAUACUUGAUUAAUUGUAAAUUGGGUUGUGGUUGUGAUACUUGCAUAAGUUGGUAUCCUCCCUGGGGGUUUGUUGCAGUGGAUAAAAAUGUUGUUGGUAGAAGUUGGCUUCAGGUGUCAGUGGUUGGUGAUAUUUAUCUUGUCGUUGUUGGUGAUAUGGUAAUUUGAUGAAGAAGCUGGUGCUUCUGCAACUGGUGGUGUUGUGGGCGGUUGUUGGUGUUUCAGAUCUUGACCGUGUACAAAGAUUUAGCUGCAGUGGUGAUAGUUUUGAUCCAUGGCAAAAAUACAAGCGAAAGCUAAGCAAGGUACAAUUGGAAGCCCAAAAAAUGAUUUCCAGGUUAUGGUUGUUAUGAUGACGAUUAUGACUGCAAGAUUCAUGGAUCCACGUGAUUUGUUGUGCGAUAGAUGGAAUAAUUGGAGAAUUUCAAGAGCUUGUGUAGGAGAGCAACCAAAUUAGAGUUGCAAGGUGACAGCACUUUGGAUUCAGUUUUCAUGCUAAAAUGUAAUUUUGCAUUGCUAGAAUUUAUUUUUAAAAUUGUAUUCAUGGAUUAUAUAAUUAUGGAUGUUAUUUUGGUAGUUAUAAAAAGUUCAUUUCAACCA